CUCACACUGAUUCACUUGUCUCAGUGUUCACCUUAGCACCUACCUGGAGCAAGAGCCUUUGCACCCUACAUAUGGUGUGGGAGCGUGUGUGAUGAGAUGCUGCUGCUAGAGCUCUGGUGCUGCCUGGGAACUGGGAGCAGCGGCUGCCUCGGGCGCAUGAGAGAGGCGUUUAGGACACAAUGGCCAGAGAAGGAACUGAAGACCUUCGUUUGGUUCCUGUGUGGAGUGGUUGGUCUGCUGUUGGUGGCACUACCUUGGGAGAUUGUGGGAACUUUAGGAAAGAAACGGGUCCUUGAGAACAGGUCCUUGGAGGUCAUAUAUUGCCUUGGAUCCUUCCUGUGUCCUCUUCUCAACUUCUUGUCCACCUGAGGGCAUGCUAAAAGGGAGUGAAUCUUUGUGAGACAUCAUCUCUCCCUCCCCCAGGAGAUGCCAGCACUCACAGCCCUGUGAACGCUUCAGGGAAGAAGCCCAGAAUCUUCCUCUGAGGAAUAGCAAGUAAGGCUGUUAAAUGAACUCUUCCCACUGCCCACAUGAAUGGGCUAGAUUCUGCAUCUCAGAGUCCAAUUUAUCUCAGAGAAAAGAUGCCACACCUUAACAUCUGCAGCCAAAUUCAGCCAGACUCCCAUGAGUAGAAGGUCAGAAAUGACCAUUUGGUUCAAGUGUGCACAUUCCCCCAGGGUGGGGGCUUGGGGAGUGAAUUUCUCUUCAAGAACAGGGCACAGGAAAUGAUGUUGCUGGCCAGAGCAGAGAGCCAAUUUACUACUGAACCACUUCUGCCUUCAAAGCUGUGGCAGGAUGUUGCCCAGCAUUUGCAGCCCCAACUACAUGGAGACUCUGUCCCCAGUCUUUGAAUCUGCACAACUGAGUGGCCUCUCCAAAGAUGCUUCAGAUCUUUUACCCUGUGGGUUUGUAACCCCUGAGGUUUCAUAGAUAAUCAGCGUGCCUCCCUCCAGGGAGAACCUCACUCAAUAAGCCCAAUAGAUGGCUUUGUCCCUGGUCCACACCCUCUGUACUUCCAGCUGCAAGAGUGCAGAGUUCUGUGUAGGCCUGGACUCACUUCAAGCUGAGAAAGUCUUGGUAGCUCAGGUGUAUCCAAGUGGACCAAGAAGUGUAAAAAACAUCAUGCCCUGGAGGCCAAGAGUUAGGCUAAGUGCCGCUGCCUCUUGUCUCUAAGGACUUUUCUGCAUCUAUCUUGGGAGGUUCUGAUGGAAGCAGAUGUCUACCAAAGUGGUAGCCUUCAAAAGAAAUUUUCUCCUUUCCUCACUUCCUGAAUUACACCCCUACAUAAACUCCUGUACAUGCCCCCUUUGCCCAGUCAGCUUUGGGAGGACCUCCAUCUGAGACACCAAGCUGAUAUAAGUGCAUGACCCUCUCAGUGGUUUCUAGUGGAAGCAGCAGUCUUCUCCAGGAAGUGGCCUGGAGAAUUCUAGAAGUGACUGGGUUUUAAGGGUGACUGAUGGCAAUACUGGCUUUGGAGAGUGGACUGCAAAGAAUAUCAAAUAUCUCUCACUGCAUGUUCAAGAUGGCCCCACAUGAAGAAGGAAUCCAUAUAUGGUCCAUUGACUUUGAGAUGACCCCUUGAUACUUUUGUAAGAAAGAAAGCUGUUUGCAAUUAUGUUAUCCAACAACCUAAAUCUGACUGACAGUGAGAAACAAUUUGCUAUGACUUUAAUAUGCAGAGAAUUUUUGUGAAUGUCCAGAUUUGUGUGGAGGGAAAGACAAUACUAUUUUCUUUUAGAAUAUAAACAAGAUUUACAUUCUGGGGAAAGCACGCCACAUGGUCUGAGUGCCUUGUGAUAAAAUCUUUAAGGCUGUCAUUUAACCACUAGGGACCUCAGAUACAGGACUGACUCAAUACCUGAUGCAUGUAUGUAUGUAUGCAUGUGUAUAUGUAUGCAUGCAUGUGUAUAAACAUACAUAUGUAUGUAAAACAUAGACAUGUUUUGGUAUAGCUUUGUUCUGAUAGUGAACUAUAAGCUUCUAUGUGUGUUGACGUUUUAAAUUGACUUGCAAUACUUUGCAAAAAUGAAUGAGUCUGAUGAACCUGAAUGUAUAAAUGAAUGACUUACUGAAAAAUUAUACAACCAAGAGAUCGCAUAAAGUCUUCAAAAUGUAUUUAUCAUUAUACUUACAUGUCUGAAAAUGUCAUAAGGAAAGUUAUUACACUGUAGGCUAACCAAAAAUUCAUUUUAAAAUAUGUGCAAUUUUCUCCCUCUGCAUGUGACAUGGACUUCUUGAAAUAGUCUGUCUUUUUAAUUCUGUUUUCUUUUGUUUUCCUAAAAUGGAAAUGCCUAAGCAAAAUUUAUUUUUAGUUAUACAAAUAAUACAUGCAUACAUUAUUUCUGUGAAAAUGUGAACAUUUGACUGAGCUAAAUUCCCCACUAAAAACAAACAUAACUCUAACCAUCUCCCACAAUCAGGAAAAAUUAAUACUCCCUUCCACACCUUUGCUGUGCUCUUACCUAAGCCCACACCUUUACUGGAACCUAUGCCUCUGCUUGGGCCUGUAUCUGUGUGAAAAUUAAGUUUCUGAACAAUAUAUAGAAUAAAACCUGGUAUUUUAUUAUAUUAUGCAUUGUUACAAUUUCAAUGUUUGUUACCUCCAAAAGUCAUGUUACAAUAAUUCUCUUCAUCGGGUGCUAAGAGGCAGAACCUAAAAGAGCUGACUAGCUCAGCCAGGCUCACCCACCCCCCACCCUGUGAGGGUGGAACGGCCGUGGUAGAAGAGCAAAUUCGGCUCCCUUUGCUCUUUGCCCGUGGGCCUCCUGCCCUGUGAAGAUGCAACGUUUC